rnacentral:RNase_P_RNA from 1 species
GUGGGCUGGAUGACCGCGGGUGCACCGCACCCGAGGAAAGUCCGGACUCCUCAAAGCAUUGGUGCCAGGUAACGCCUGGGCGGGGCAACCCGACGGAAAGCGCCACAGAAAUGAAACCGCCUGCGGUCCACGCAGGUAAGGGUGAAACGGUGGAGUAAGAGCCCACCGGGGAUCUGGCAACAGAUCCCGCAUGGCAAGCCCCACCAGGAGCAAUGCCAAAUAGGGACCUUGCGCAGGUUUGAUCGGGCAACCGAUAUCACUGCACGAUUGCUUUGAUCGAAAGGUCCGGGUUGGCAGCUAGAGGCCCGCAAGCAAUUGCAGGCCAAGAUGAAUGGUCAUCCAAGGGGGCAACCUCUGGACAGAAUCCGGCUUAUAGGCCCACC